GCGCGUAUGCCACGUGAAGGCAUGUGUGGCAGCCCACGGUCUGGUCAACCGAAGAGAUAAGGAAACAAGUCCCCGCUAGAGAUGAAAUCUCCAGUGCUGGAUCCCUCACUCACGGAGACUACCAUAGAAAUCCUCUCGCUCUAGGGGCUCCAUGUACCAGUGCGCCGGAGCGGCUGCUCGACGGCGAGGUCGUUAGGAGAAGGCUGAUAAGACGACGGCGGGCGCCGGAGCGUGGCGCAGGCGGAGAAGUGGCGGGCGUCAGGGACGGCCGGCAGUGUCCGCGUCGACAACCACAUCGCUGGCUUCAGCUUCAACAACCGCAGGGGUUGGAGACGGCAGCGCCGCGGUUUCGUCGUCGUCGUCGAUUAUGACGACGUCGUCCGGCUGGACGGUGCUCAAGUCCCGGCGCAGCGGUCGAUGGCGGCCAUGGUGCGGCCGUAAAGCCUCUCCGCGAGCCUGCUCCAGCCUGCGUUGGCGUCAGCGUGUUCUGCGAACGCCACGGGCACGAAGCCAGGAGGCCGCGGCUGAGCGCGGGAGCGCGGCGCGGCCGGGCAGCGGCCAUGGGCAGGAGGGCGCGCAGCCGG
rnacentral:rRNA from 1 species